UAUUGAUGAUGAUGAUGAUGAUGAUGAUGAUGAUGAUGAUGAUCAGGGUACUUUAGGAUAAUUUUGAAGAUAACAAUUAAAUAAUUUAUCUUCAACAUUAUUAUAAACUAUUACCAUCAUCAUCGUCAUCAUCAUCAUCAUCAUCAAUA
rnacentral:pre_miRNA from 1 species